GACGAACGCUGGCGGCGUGCUUAACACAUGCAAGUCGAGCGGUAAGGCUCCUUCGGGAGUACACGAGCGGCGAACGGGUGAGUAACACGUGAGCAAUCUGCCCUUCUCAUCGGAAUAAGCGUUGGAAACGACGUCUAAUGCCGAAUAUGACCUCAGAAGACAUCUUCCGAGGUGGAAAGCUCCGGCGGAGAAGGAUGAGCUCGCGGCCUAUCAGCUAGUUGGUGAGGUAAUGGCUCACCAAGGCGACGACGGGUAGCCGGCCUGAGAGGGUGACCGGCCACACUGGGACUGAGACACGGCCCAGACUCCUACGGGAGGCAGCAGUGGGGAAUAUUGGACAAUGGGCGAAAGCCUGAUCCAGCAACGCCGCGUGAGGGAUGACGGCCUUCGGGUUGUAAACCUCUUUCAGCAGGGACGAAGCGAAAGUGACGGUACCUGCAGAAGAAGGACCGGCCAACUACGUGCCAGCCGCCGCCGUAAUAC
rnacentral:rRNA from 1 species